rnacentral:sRNA from 1 species
CCGUUCAGGCUUUUCCUCCAGGGGUGCUUUGUAAACACGGCUGUGCUCAGGGCUCGCGGGUGACCGAAAGGAUCAUGAACUAGUGACCUGGAAAGGAUACUAGAUGGAAACUUGAGAAAGGACUGCUUAUUGAUAACAGCUAAGGUAUUCCUGGAAGCAGAGUAAAUAAAGCUCAUGGCCCACCAGCUAGAAAGUAUUCUUGCCAUGAGAAAAAGAAUGUGAUAAGUUAUUCAACUUAUGAAAUUCAAGUUACAUGUGAAUUCUGCCAGGCAAUACAAGGACCUGUGGAAUAUGAGUGAUGACAAACCCUUUCUAUGUACUGCGCCUGGAUGUGGCCAGGGUCUCACUCUGUCACCCGGGCUGGAGUGCAGUAGCAUGAUCAUGACACACUGAAGCCUCAACCUCCUGGGCUCAGGAUCUCCCAAUGUUGUCCAGGCUGUUCUCAAACUCCUGGGCUCAAGCCAUCUGCCUACCUUGGCCUCCCAAUGUGCUGAGAUUGUAGGCAUGAGCCACUUCGCCUGACCCACUUUACUUUUUGGAUUUGGUACUGAGUUAAAUGGAAUGAGAGAUGGUAUUACUCAAAUCAUCCAUUUUGCUGGCUUGGAGUGAACAAACAACUUGAUUCUGUAAUCCCUGAAGUACAGCUAAUGCAAUAUGUGUUUCUAGGGCCAGCCUUUGGAC